rnacentral:rRNA from 1 species
AGUAGUUUGAUCAGUGGCUCGAGGACGAACGCUGGCGGCGUGCUUCAUACAUGCAAGUCGAACGAGAAGCUGACUUCGGUCAGUGGAAAGUGGCGGACGGGUGAGUAAUAUGUAGGAAAUCUGCCCUAGAGAGGGGGACAACAGAGGGAAACUUCUGCUAAUACCCCAUAUGAGCUUAGUUGAAAUACUAAUCUUGAAAACUCCGGUGCUCUAGGAUGAGCCUGCAUCUGAUUAGCUAGUUGGCGGUGUAAUGGACCACCAAGGCGACGAUCAGUAGCUGGUUUGAGAGGAUGAUCAGCCACAAUGGGACUGAGACACGGCCCAUACUCC